rnacentral:rRNA from 1 species
UACGAAGGGGGCUAGCGUUGUUCGGAAUCACUGGGCGUAAAGGGCGCGUAGGCGGUUUGUCGCGUCGGGAGUGAAAUCCACUGGCUUAACUGGUGGCUUGCUUUCGAUACGGGCAGACUGGAGGUAUGCAGGGGAGAACGGAAUUCCUGGUGUAGCGGUGAAAUGCGCAGAUAUCGGGAGGAACACCAAUUGCGAAGGCAGCUCGCUGGGACGUUACUGACGCUGAGACGCGAAAGCGUGGGGAGCAAACAGG